CCGUCGCCUCUCUAAGCCGGUCGCAGCUUUUGUAAUUGCAUUUAAAAAGUCUUAAGAAGUGUUAAAAGGUGUUAAAAAUCGGUCAAAUAUCAAUCAAAUAAUGCAUAAAUAGUGAUCGCAGGAUUGUGUGUUGUGUUUAAAACAAUAAAUAUUGUUUUAAUUGUGAAUUUGAAUAAUUGCAAUGCCAAAUGGGAAGGGGUGCUCCGCUGGAUAAGUGAAAGUCUGAAAACAAAUGCAUCUCCAAGCCUAAGCUUCACCUCUUAUACUUUUCAUUCAUAACAAAAUGCUCUCGCAACUUACAUUUCUAUAUCAUAAACAUACAUAAAACAUAUAUUUAGUUUUUGCUUAAAGAAGAAGCCUUAUAAAGUGAUAAAAUAGUACAUAAAAAGUGUUGGUAGGGCAGUGUUUACAAUUUUGUUGAAUAUUUAUUAAUGAAAUGGCAAGCUCAGCUGCUCAGCUGCUGCUGAAAAUGAAAAGUUGAAGGCGACCUGAAAAAACAAGGUUUUGUGUGGAAAACAAGCAACAAAUAUCUUCUACAAUACAAGAAAUCCCAAUAAGAAGCUUUAAAAACAAGGAAAAUUAAGGGGCUAAAAGGUUCAGCAGGCUAACAUAUCUGAAUGCCAAAUACCUGGAGUUAUCGACACCGACUGACCUGAGAGUCGGCUCACC